rnacentral:rRNA from 1 species
CCCAGACUCCUACGGGAGGCAGCAGUGGGGAAUAUUGGGCAAUGGGCGAAAGCCUGACCCAGCAACGCCGCGUGAAGGAAGAAGGCUUUCGGGUUGUAAACUUCUUUUGUCAGGGACGAAGCAAGUGACGGUACCUGACGAAUAAGCCACAGCUAACUACGUGCCAGCAGCCGCGGUAAUACGUAGGUGGCAAGCGUUAUCCGGAUUUACUGGGUGUAAAGGGCGUGUAGGCGGGACUGCAAGUCAGAUGUGAAAACUCAGGGCCCAACCCUGGGACUGCAUUUGAAACUGCCAUACUGGAGUGCCGGAGAGGUAAGUGGAAUUCCUAGUGUAGCGGUGAAAUGCGUAGAUAUUAGGAGGAACACCAGUGGCGAAGGCGGCUUACUGGACGGUAACUGACGCUGAGGCUCGAAAGCGUGGGGAGCAAACAGGAUUAGAUACCCCAGUA